AUGUGUCUAGUAAAUGUCCUGAGGCUCUGCCCCAAAACCCAGCAAAUCUCUGCACUUACCCAGUGGCUCACCCACCCUGCACUCUGCUCCUGCAGAGUUCUUGCUCACUUUCACCACCUCUUAUCUGAUGCCCACUCUGCUCAUUCUCUCCAUCCAUUCCCACCUUGUUUCCAGGUGAUCUUUGUAAAAUUUGUGUCUGAGCUUGGUUUGAAGUCACUCAUUGGCCCCUGUUGUCUGGAAGGUGAGACAAUACUCUGCUGCCUGGAAACAGUUUUUACCAAAAGAGAGUUAUAG
rnacentral:lncRNA from 1 species